rnacentral:rRNA from 1 species
AAUGUCAGUACUUGUCAAAGUCUGAUCUCAUCUGAUCUCUGAAGCUGAGCAGGACUGGGCCUGGUUAGGACUUGGAUGGGAGACCUCUAGGAAUACCAGGGGUCACAGUG